rnacentral:rRNA from 1 species
GACGAACGCUGGCGGCGUGCCUAAUACAUGCAAGUCGAACGCAGUGGGGACGGGUGAGUAACACGUGGGUAACCUCCCAUCAGAGGGGAUAACACUUGGAAACAGGUGCUAAACCGAUACUGAUGGAUGGACCCGCGGUGCAUUAGCUAGUUGGUGAGGUAACGGCUCACCAAGGACACGAUUCAUAGCCGAACUGGGAGGGGUAUGGCACAAACUGGGACUGAGAAACGGCCCAGACUCCUACGGGAGGCAGCAGUAGGGAAGCUUCGGCAAUGGACGAAAGUCUGAUCGAGCAACGCCGAGUGGGGGAAGAAGGUUUUCGGAUCGUAAAACUCUUUUGUUAGAGAAGCGGUAUCUAACCAGAAAGCCACGGCUAACUACGUGCCAGCCGCCGCGGUAAUUC